rnacentral:rRNA from 1 species
UACAGAGGUCCCAAGCGUUGUUCGGAUUCAUUGGGCGUAAAGGGUGCGUAGGUGGCGGGGUAAGUCGGAUGUGAAAUCUCGGGGCUCAACCUCGAAACUGCAUUCGAUACUGCCUUGCUAGAGUACUGGAGAGGAGAUCGGAAUUUACGGUGUAGCAUUGAUAUGCGUAUAUAUCGUAAGGAAGACCAGUGGCGAAGGCGGAUCUCUGGACAGUUACUGACACUGAGGCACGAAGUCCAGGGGAGCCAAUGGG